AUAUAGCUCUAUUUUUCUUUUGCCUGGGUAGCAGCUCCACGCUUCCAUAAUUUGGUAAUCAAAAUAUGUAAUUUAAUUAAUUAUAUUGUGACGUACUUUUGCCUUUUCUUAUUAUUCUGCCUUCUCAGAAAGGGAAAAAAAUACAAAUAAAACUGUUUACACUUGUUAUAUACAAUAACUAUCAAAACCUAUUCACAUUUAAUUUGGCUUUCACAGAAAUCCCACCUCUCCUUCUGGCUACAGAGUACUUACCAAGGUUAGAAACAAAGCACAGUUAUGCUUAAUUAGUGUUCGCUAAUUACAAUGUUCCACAUUUCCUUGCUUUUUUAAGUCAUUUUUAGGCUUUUUAGAGUUUUUGUUUUUUGUUUUUUUAGCAGUAAUGUUUCUGCCUAUUUAUUUCAGCCCAUGAAAUCGAAUGCAGAUCUUCCUGAUGUCAGAUUUACAUAAAUGUAAGUAAUUUUGUUUGUCAUUGUCAUUAAUGUUGUUGCUGUUGUUGUUUUUGUGCAGUUCGCAAUCAUAUAAACCUACCAAGCAUCAGUCAGCACAGUGACUAACCUAAACAGAUUCUUGCUUUAUUCACAUAUAUUAUAUGUAAUUAUAUAUACUUGGCCCCACCCCAUUGUUGUGACAGCCCUGAUUGUACUUAUACACUGCAUCUGAACAGGGAACAGUCUGCCACAUUAAUGUAUUUUUAAGUGACUUGUUUGUAAUACAUGAAUUUGUUUCUUACAGAUGUCAAAGUCUCAACCUCAUGCUGCCCUCCCCCAUCCUCCUAAAGUUCAAUGGUGCGUGUUCUUUUAAUGGCCGCCUUCCCACUGGAGAUUUUGAUCCACAGCAAUUUAAAAGGUAAACAGCGUUGAAAGUCAGUUCAAAUGGUUAGCUAAUAGUAUUCUAAAAAGCCUACAACUCUGUCACCAGUUUCUUUACCAAAAGGUACCCAUAAAAGUAUCUCUCAAUAGCAUAUCAUUGUGGUUCGAAUGUUUAGUUGUACAAAUAUCAGACUUUUGGAAAUCUAAAACUAGUCAAACACUCAAAUGUUCAUGCUUUUUAUAGGAGGACAGAGCAAAACGGACAUCGGCGCAGAGUGAAGAACUGCCCUUCAUAAGGACACUAUGACAGCCAUAUAUAGUAAGUGAAGACUUUCUGUGUAUCUAAAAUUGCAUACAGCACAAGUAACUUACUUUGCAACCAUUAAAAUAGGUUGCAAAGUAAGUUACCAAUACAAAUAGGUGAUGAUGCAUUGUAGUGGUUGGUCUCAGACAAAGAAGGUCAACAGAUUUAUGAAUGCUGGAGGGUAAGGAGAGACGACCAAAAGGGGUGUUAGCAUUACUGUAAUGUGAACUGGAUAGACUUUCCAUCUAGGAAAAAAAAGAGGUAAAAUUAUGGGUAAAAUAUAUCUGUAUUAAUAUCUGUAUCUAUAUAAACAGAAAUAUCUGUUUGCUAAAUGAAGCCAGCUAACAUAAAUCAUAUUUUUAUUUUAACUCUGAUAAAAGUAAUAGAACUGUGACUUUUGUUUGUUACAGUGGCGGUAAGGAAGAGGUUUCCCAAUGUGUCCAGAAGGGCUUUGAGGAUUGCAGUGAAAGCUGGGGGAACUGAGACUGCUGGAAAAGGAAAAGAAAUUA
ensembl:lncRNA